rnacentral:lncRNA from 1 species
UGACUGUCUAGCGUUCAGAGGGUCUUCCUGUGUGGGCAGGUUAUUUCACAGCUGCAUUUAACCUGUAUCUCUGCACUGUGCGCUUGUCUUUCCAGGCAACCCAGCACAGCCGGAACAAGCCAUCCCCAGACCACGGUGUGGGAGCCGACAGCUGAGAGCUGCCUUUCCAACCUGUUUUAGCCCUGCACCAAGGCAUCAAAGGUACGGUGUUGGUGGAUUAUGACCGCAGGGAAGCCGUGGCUGUGCCCAGGAAGCUGCGUUGCAUCCGCAGAUCUCCUUCGUACAUCAAGGGCACCUUUGAGCAGGUGAGUGCUGUGCACGUGAAAGGACUGCUGUCUUUGCUCUGGGGGAAGCUGGUGGGGGGCCAUCACAGCUCAGGGCUGUCAAGCUCCCUGUUUCUACCUUCCUGCCAGACAUCGCUUAUUAGAGGAAGGAAAUUGCAA